CCUACGGGGGGCAGCAGUGGGGAAUAUUGCGCAAUGGGCGAAAGCCUGACGCAGCGACGCCGCGUGAGGGAUGAAGGUCUUCGGAUCGUAAACCUCUGUCAGCAGGGAAGAACGGUCACUGUGUUAAUCAGCAGUGAAUUGACGGUACCUGCAAAGGAAGCACCGGCUAACUCCGUGCCAGCAGCCGCGGUAAUACGGAGGGUGCGAGCGUUAAUCGGAAUUACUGGGCGUAAAGCGCUCGUAGGCGGUAUGUCAAGUCAAGGGUGAAAGCCCCGCGCUCAACGUGGGAACUGCCUUUGAAACUGGCAGACUAGAGUGUGUGAGAGGAUAGUGGAAUUCCAGGUGUAGGAGUGAAAUGCGUAGAUAUCUGGAAGAACAUCGGUGGCGAAGGCGACUAUCUGGCACAUAACUGACGCUGAGGAGCGAAAGCGUGGGUAGCAAACAGGAUUAGAUACCCUAGUAGUC
rnacentral:rRNA from 1 species